UGUGGGACACGACUAGUAAACC
rnacentral:miRNA from 1 species